rnacentral:lncRNA from 1 species
GUCCUGUUAUUUAAUAUCAUUUUAGUGGUAUAUUUAACAUUAUUAUAAAGCGCGGAGUUUUGGCUAGCCAUUAAACCAGGAUCAACCAACCAUUUUUUUUUUUAUUAAAAUGUCCUGUACCAAGUUAGGAAUAUGGCAUUUGUUAUCUAACAUAUCGUUUCUAUUCAUGUUGUAUUGUCGUUUGUUUUUUUUUUUUUUUGUUGCUCUUCAGUGUUCUGUUGUUUCGUUGUUUUCCUCUUAUAGUUGAUAUGUUUCCCUCAGUUUUAGUUUGUAACCUAGAUUUGUUUUCUCUCAAUCAAUUUAUGACUUUUGAAAACCGGUAUGUUCACAAACAAAGGUUCUUAAUACUUUCGUGAGACAUGUCGCAACGUAGCAAAUGUUGAGGACAUACACUGUUUUGCUCUCUUAAUGAGGUUUUUUUCUGAAGAAAAAAUUCCUAAUUUACAACAUGAACAGCAUGGUCAAUUUGACAAGAAAAACUAAAUAUUGUUUUUUUUAAUUGAAUUUAUUCAGAUCUUCAGUGAAGGUAUGAAUAAAAAUUGUGAAACGGUAUUUUUUUUUUCAUGAAAAU